UACAGAGGUCUCAAGCGUUGUUCGGAUUCAUUGGGCGUAAAGGGUGUGUAGGUGGCGCCGUAAGUCGGGUGUGAAAUUUCGGAGCUUAACUCCGAAACUGCAUUCGAUACUGCGGUGCUUGAGGACUGGAGAGGAGACUGGAAUUCAUGGUGUAGCGGUGAAAUGCGUAGAUAUCUGGAGGAACACCGGUGGCGAAGGCGGCAUCCUGGACCGACACUGACGCUGAGGAGCGAAAGCCAGGGGAGCAAACGGG
rnacentral:rRNA from 1 species